AACGAACGCUGGCGGCAGGCUUAACACAUGCAAGUCGAGCGCCCCGCAAGGGGAGCGGCAGACGGGUGAGUAACGCGUGGGAAUCUACCCAUCUCUACGGAAUAACGCAUGGAAACGUGUGCUAAUACCGUAUACGUCCUUCGGGAGAAAGAUUUAUCGGAGAUGGAUGAGCCCGCGUUGGAUUAGCUAGUUGGUGGGGUAAAGGCCUAACAAGGCGACGAUCCAUAGCUGGUCUGAGAGGAUGAUCAGCCACACUGGGACUGAGACACGGCCCAGACUCCUACGGGAGGCAGCGGUGGGGAAUAUUGGACAAUGGGCGCAAGCCUGAUCCAGCCAUGCCGCGUGAGUGAUGAAGGCCCUAGGGUUGUAAAGCUCUUUCACCGGUGAAGAUAAUGACGGUAACCGGAGAAGAAGCCCCGGCUAACUUCGUGCCAGCCGCCGCGGUAACAC
rnacentral:rRNA from 1 species